rnacentral:lncRNA from 1 species
CUGGGCUCCAGAGGCGACCCCUGACCCCAGGCCCUUCCCUCGCCCCCGGCGGCUCCGGGGGCUUCACGGGGAGGGCGUGAAAGAACCCUUUGUGGAGAAGACCGGCCCCGGACGGGGUUGAGACUCGGUUUCCAACCGAGAACGAUCGUGCCGGUUAAACAUUACUGAGGCUGAGAGUCCGCCGAGGAGGCGGCACGCCUGGGCCGGGCGCCUCUCCCGCCGAGCAUCCUGGGAGCGUACGAGGCAGCCACCCAGCACAUCACCGCACACCCCACUGAGCUCUGACCGUGCGCCAAGCACUGGGCUGGGCGCCGGGGUGGGUACGCAGCUUCCGUCGUGAGCCGCUCAGAGCCGCUGGAUGUUCACUGAAGUUCCUGAUCCAGACGAAGUUCCAGGAGCCGCUCAACCUCAUCGGUUGGGGCGACGUGGCUUAGCCAACGAUGACCCUCGCGGGUGAGGACGGCCGGGUUCCGCGUCGUCGGUCAGUCGGUCGUAUUUAUUGAGCACUUACCGUGUACAGACCACUGUACUAAAUGGUUGGGAGAAUACAAUAGAACGGUGUAACCAAAACAUUCCCUGCCCACAACAAACUUAUAGCCUAGAGGGGGAGACGGAUGUUAAUAUAAACGAAUAAAUGACAGAUAUGGGCAUAAGUGCUGUAGGGCCGGAGGGGAUGAACGAAGGG